UACGUAGGGACCGAGCGUUGUCCGGAUUCAUUGGGCGUAAAGCGCGCGUAGGCGGCCCGGUAAGUCCGCUGUAAAAGUCAAAGGCUCAACCUUUGAAUGUCAGUGGAUACUGCCGGGCUAGAGUCCGGAAGAGGCGAGUGGAACUCCUGGUGUAGCGGUGGAAUGCGCAGAUAUCAGGAAGAACACCGACGGCGAAGGCAGCUCGCUGGGACGGUACUGACGCUGAGGCGCGAAAGCGUGGGGAGCGAACAGG
rnacentral:rRNA from 1 species